CUUUAGGGAUGGGAGUGGAAGAAAGUGAGAGUCAGACCUCUCGAGUCACAGUGUUUGCGGGAGUCUGGGUGGGGGCAGGUCAGUCAGGGGAGGUCAUCAGGUCUUGACAAAGCCAGAACAAGUGACAGCUGCUUUCAGCCAGAGACUGACAAUAAGACGAGCAGCCACUGGGCAGUCCAGAGACACCUUCUGCAAAGCCACGUCUGAGAAGCCCUAUGCUCCAAAGCCUCAAAAAUGAAGUGUGCCCUCAUAUACUCAGAUGCCAACCCCAGGAAAAAGAAAUGAAGCAGAAACAGAAGCCAGAGAGCAGACUUUCUUCCUCGAUGGCUCUGAAGCAAGCUGACAUGUUGUGAACAGCCCUAUGGAGAGGCCCACAUGGCACAGAACUGAAGGCAGGCUUUGGCCAAUAACCAGCAAGAAACUGAGCCCUUACUCCAGCAGCCCACAAGGAACUGAAUCCUGCCGACGGCCACGUGAACUUGGAAGUGAAUCCUUUUCUAGCUGGGCUUUUAUGUUAGACUCCAGCCUUUGCCAACACUUUGAUUGCAGCCUCUUGAGAGAGCCUUAAGUGGAGGCCCCAGAGAUUCUCCAGUUGCAGGCAGUUGUGAAAAUCAGACCACCCUAUUUGCAAUAUCCCAUUGAAUGACAGAUCCAAACUCUGCAAUGACUUCAGUUUCCACAGUCCUGUUAAAAUGAAAAAGUUCUAGAACUUAGUUGGUUAAUGUGAGGCUGCUACAUUUGGUCUAUCAACCUAACUGGAAUCCCAACAAGAUGUUGUUCCUGCUGCAUUUCCAGUUACUCUGUGAGCACUCCAAAAAUACUGCUUGAUGAAGCUGUCCCUUGAACCUGAAAACAAAUGUGGAAUUCUUAUGAACAUGAAACAACUCCACGUAAGCAUUGUUUCUCUGCCUAGUUAAAAUUGUACUCACCCUUGGGAGUGUCACUGAGUUUAUUUCUUUGAAGAAUGAGC
rnacentral:lncRNA from 10 species